rnacentral:rRNA from 1 species
AGAGUUUGAUCCUGGCUCAGGACGAACGCUGGCGGCGUGCUUAACACAUGCAAGUCGAGCGGGGAGUUACCUUUCGGGGUAACUUCUAGCGGCGGACGGGUGAGUAACGCGUGAGCAACCUUUCCUCUACUGGGGAAUAACACCGGGAAACUGGUACUAAUACCGCAUGAGACCACAGAGUGGCAUCACUUAGGGGUCAAAGAUUUAUUGGUAGAGGGUGGGCUCGCGUCUGAUUAGGUAGUUGGUGAGGUAACGGCCCACCAAGCCGACGAUCAGUAGCCGACCUGAGAGGGUGAUCGGCCACAUUGGGACUGAGACACGGCCCAAACUCCUACGGGAGGCAGCAGUGGGGAAUAUUGGUCAAUGGUCUGACGACUGAACCAGCCAUGCCGCGUGAAGGCGACGGCCCUAUGGGUCUUAAACUUCUUUUGCGAGGGAGCAAUAAGGUCCACGUGUGGACUGAUGAGAGUACCUCGCGAAUAAGCAUCGGCUAACUCCGUGCCAGCAGCCGCGGUAAUACGGGGGAUGCAAGCGUUAUCCGGAUUUAUUGGGUUUAAAGGGUGCGUAGGCGGCCUGUUAAGUCAGCGGUGAAAUUCAGGGGCUCAACCUCUGCCGUGCCGUUGAUACUGGCAAGCUUGAAUGCGGAUGCCGUGGGAGGAAUGUGUGGUGUAGCGGUGAAAUGCAUAGAUAUCACACAGAACACCGAUUGCGAAGGCAUCUCACGAAUCCGCAAUUGACGCUGAGGCACGAAAGCGUGGGGAUCAAACAGGAUUAGAUACCCUGGUAGUCCACGCUGUAAACGAUGAUGACUAACCGUCGGCGAUACACAGUCGGUGGCCAAGCGAAAGCGAUAAGUCAUCCACCUGGGGAGUACGACCGCAAGGUUGAAACUCAAAGGAAUUGACGGGGGCCCGCACAAGCGGAGGAACAUGUGGUUUAAUUCGAAGCAAUGCGAAGAACCUUACCAGGUCUUGACAUCCGACUAACGAAUCAGAGAUGAAUUAGGUGCCCUUCGGGGAAAGUCGAGACAGGUGGUGCAUGGUUGUCGUCAGCUCGUGUCGUGAGAUGUUGGGUUAAGUCCCGCAACGAGCGCAACCCCUGCCAUUAGUUGCUUCGCAAGAGCACUCUAAUGGGACCGCUACCGACAAGGUGGAGGAAGGUGGGGACGACGUCAAAUCAUCAUGCCCCUUAUGACCUGGGCUACACACGUAAUACAAUGGCCGUUAACAACGAGCAGCAAACCCGCGAGGGGGAGCGAAACUCCAAAAACGGUCUCAGUUCGGAUUGCAGGCUGCAACUCGCCUGUAUGAAGUUGGAAUUGCUAGUAAUCGCGGAUCAGCAUGCCGCGGUGAAUACGUUCCCGGGCCUUGUACACACCGCCCGUCAAG